rnacentral:misc_RNA from 1 species
AAGGUACGCGUCAAUGGGCCAAAUACAGCACCUGUCUACAAGUUCCUCAAGGCAAGCAAAUGCGGAAUUAUGGGGUCUGGCAUAAAGUGGAACUUUACCAAGUUCUUGGUCAAUAAGGAAGGGCAAGUUAUCGGUCGCUACAGCCCAAUCACUAGUCCUUUGUCUAUUGAGGCUGAUAUCAAGAAAGCUUUGGUAUAAUGUGAGAAAUAUGCCACGAACAGAUUCAGUAAAAGCUAAAUCAAAAUAUGUAAAGCAUUUAGAUGGUCAAGCUAUUCUGAUGUCGAGUUAGUUAUUGUAUAUUAUUGAUCGAUGACUUCU